CAAAACGUGUUUUGUUGACUGCUGAAGAUAGGGUCGAUUAACCAGCGCGAUCACUCGAUAGCCACUGACAGCAAUAAGUACUUCCAGGCUCUACAGUACCGCAGGGACCAGAUAGACGUGUACGCCAAUAGCUGGCGCACAGAGGAGCCGUUGUCGCCUUGCGAUAACUUCGUGCAAUACGUUCUCAAAACUGGCGUAGAUCAGGGACGCAACGGCAAGGGCUCGAUCUUUGUGUUUCCAUCGGGGCCAGUGGGAAACUGUUUCCCAAACAGCAUCUACACCAUUGCAGUGAACGGACUCCUUGCCAACCAUACCGGGCUCGUCAGCAGUAAGCGGAGCUCUGCUGUCCUCGUCUCGGCAUACGUAGGGCAAAACAGCCGCACCGAUCAUGCGGUAUGUUGCCACAAGUGUACAUGUUGAUUAUUUGAGUCGCGUUCUGAGAAAACUGGGCAUAACGAUGUGCGUAAAGUGUCGUCCCAGAUUAGCAUGUGCAAUGCGCACAGGCUAAUCAGGGACGACACUUUCCGCCUAAAUUGGAUUUUUGCUAAAAAGAGACUUCAUUUAAACGAAAAAAGUCAGAAAAGCGGAAAGUGUCGUCCCUGAUUAGCCUGUGCGGAAUGCACAGGCAAUAUUGACUGCAUAAAACCUCUUAAGUUGAGGCGAAUAAAUCAUUAAAGAUUUGAACACAUGGGCCAUGAUCAUUUUUGUUUGGAUGGAUUAGAUAUGCUGAUUGAUCUUUGCAAUAUGGUGCUGUUGUCUCCCCAUGACCUUCUCAUCCCCAUAUCUGACUGUACAGUUAUACUUCGCUUUAAGUCUUUCUAUUUUUUAUGAGUUAACAUUUGUUAUAAAUAUUUAUAUUUUUCGUUUAGUUGAUUAUUUCUGUAUUAAAUACGUGUUUACUUUGAGUUGUUAAUGGUAUAUUUUUAACCACUAUUCUUAUGAAACAAGUAUUGAUAUUAAUUAGCUUAACAUGCAUAUUUUUAGUUAAUUUAGUGACAGUUCUUACAGCAAUUUUGUGCUUUCAAUAACAAAGAUUUGCAUUCUUAAAUAUAGAUUAGAGAAGCUAGAAACACUUAGCCAGAUACAACAACUAUUUAACCAGAACAUUUUUUUCCACGUUAUAGUUUUUUCUAAUUGGUGGAACCUUCACUGUGAUCAUUUUUGUAUGACACGGAUGUAUUAUCAUUGUACAGUUUUGGUGUUGUUAAUAUAUAUUUCAACUUUGUUUUGUGUUGUUUAUUCUGCAUGUCCCAAAUGCCCUUCUGCUGACUUUUACAUUUACUCCUUGUGCAAAUAUAUAUUCUGCUUGUGUAGAAAAACGAAAUAAAAAAGCAAGUAGACUUG